rnacentral:rRNA from 1 species
UACGUAGGCAGCGAGCGUUGUUCGGAGUUCCUUGGCGUAAAGGGUGCGUAGGCGGUUUUCCAAGUUUGGUGUGAAAUCUCCCGGCUUAACUGGGAGGGUGCGCCGAAAACUAGGAGACUUGAGUACCGGAGAGGUAAGCGGAAUUCCUGGUGUAGCGGUGAAAUGCGUAGAGAUCAGGAGGAACACCUGUGGUGUAGACAGCUUACUGGACGGUCACUGACGCUGAGGCACGAAAGCGUGGGUAGCAAACAGG